rfam:Enterocytozoon bieneusi H348 ctg01_808, whole genome shotgun sequence.
CUCGAGGGAGGAACACUCCGAGAGUAUAAGGGCAAAGCUUGCUUUAGUUAUUAAUGUAAAUUAAUAAUACUGGAAACAGGGGCCUAGAGAUCCUCUAUGAAACUAAGCAUAGAGGUGACGGAAAAGUUACCACAGGGAUAACUGGCUUGUGGCGGCCGAGCGUCCAUAGCGACGCCGCUUUUUGAUUCUUCGAUGUCGGCUCUUCCGAGCAUGGUGGAGUAUCAGCCACCAAGUGUGUGAUUGUUCACCAACUAACAGGGAACGUGAGCUGGGUUUAGACCGUCGCGAGACAGGUUAGUUUUACCCUACUGCAUCGCGUCCGAGAGUAGGUCGGGGCAGUACGAGAGGAAGUGCCGAUCAGAACCGCUGGUGAUACUUUCGUCUGUUAAGGCGCGAAGUGUAGCUACGUUCUUCUUAUAAUAGCUGAAAGCCUCUAAGCUAGAAUGAGUACUUAAGGACGCAAAGAUAUGAAGACUACAUAUGUAAGGAUGAGGGUUGUACGAUAUAAGCUUCUGCGAGUAUUUCAGACCACUUAUUUCCUUUUUUAGAACAUGCUUGCUCGGAUACAUACAGGAAUUCCGGGGAAAGGAAAAAUUUAUUUUUU